rnacentral:sRNA from 2 species
GUUUGCACUUAUCGGGGAAGGGUGAGAACCUUCGAUUAAGGUUCGACUCGAGCGAAAGCGAGAGAACGUUGCCAACGGCAACGGCCCGUAGG